rnacentral:rRNA from 1 species
CGUAGGGUGCGAGCGUUGUCCGGAAUUAUUGGGCGUAAAGAGCUCGUAGGCGGUGUGUCGCGUCGGCCGUGAAAACCUGCAGCUUAACUGUGGGCUUGCGGUCGAUACGGGCAUCACUGGAGUUCGGCAGGGGAGACUGGAAUUCCUGGUGUAGCGGUGAAAUGCGCAGAUAUCAGGAGGAACACCGGUGGCGAAGGCGGGUCUCUGGGCCGAUACUGACGCUGAGGAGCGAAAGCGUGGGGAGCGAACAGG